AACGAACGCUGGCGGCAGGCCUAACACAUGCAAGUCGAACGCACCGCAAGGUGAGUGGCGCACGGGUGAGUAACACGUGGGAAUGUAUCCUUUGGUUCGGAAUAACGUCUGGAAACGGACGCUAAUACCGGAUGAGCCCUAUGGGGGAAAGAUUUAUCGCCGAAGGAGCAGCCCGCGUCUGAUUAGGUAGUUGGUGGGGUAAAGGCCUACCAAGCCGACGAUCAGUAGCUGGUCUGAGAGGAUGAUCAGCCACACUGGGACUGGGACACGGCCCAGACUCCUACGGGAGGCAGCAGUGGGGAAUAUUGGACAAUGGGCGCAAGCCUGAUCCAGCCAUGCCGCGUGAGUGAUGAAGGCCUUCGGGUUGUAAAGCUCUUUCGCACACGACGAUGAUGACGGUAGUGUGAGAAGAAGCCCCGGCUAACUUCGUGCCAGCCGCCGCCGUAACAC
rnacentral:rRNA from 1 species